AGAACGAACGCUGGCGGCACGCCUAACACAUGCAAGUCGAGCGCCCAGCAAUGGGAGCGGCGGACGGGUGAGUAACACGUGGGAACGCGCCCUUCGGUUCGGAAUAACUCAGGGAAACUUGAGCUAAUACCGGAUACGCCCUUACGGGGAAAGAUUUAUUGCCGAAGGAACGGCCCGCGUCCGAUUAGCUAGUUGGUGAGGUAAUGGCUCACCAAGGCGACGAUCGGUAGCU
rnacentral:rRNA from 1 species